CCCUCUCUCAGCUAUUCGUUUUGCUGAUUUGCAGCCACCUGGCAGUUCUUGUUCUCUCAUUUCCAUGCUAAAUCUCUUUCUUUUAGGUUCCCAGCGAAGUGAUUGAUAUAAAAAAUUCCAUCCAUCCUCCACAAACUGCCCAUCACCAAAAAAAAAAGCAUCUGAUUGUUUUCCCACUAGUCUUGUUCUUUCAUACCUAGAAUUACACCUUUUAAUCAGCACCUCUAGUAAAAAAAAUCAUAAAUUUUAUUUUUUGCUGCUUCCUUUUUAUUUUAAUCUGAACUUUUAUGUUGUUUUAUCACUUUUCUUUUACCUAAUGUUGUUUUGCGCCCUUUCUUUCCAUAGUGAUCAAUUGGAAAAAGUAAAAAAAAAUUGUUGUGCUUCUUCAUGAUUAUUUAUGCCUUUCUUGGUUAUUGAAUCUUACAAAAUGUAAUUGCUUUCUUCCUUCAUUGAAGCAAUUAAUUGCAUCUUCUAGCGACAAAUCGAUGUACCAAAAAGAAUUAUAUGAUUCCACCCCCUUCAAACUGAAACCCAGCAAAGUCAACUAGAUCAUAUCUUGUCAUCCACACAACAUCAACAAAAUUUUGCUGCAGAAUUGGAGAGACAACAUAUAUUGGCAACCUUCAACUUAAAUGUUGCUUUCUUGGUGAAUGACACACAAAGUUAGUACUGGAAAUUUCACUGUAAACAACACCCCAAAGGCUAAACCAGAGGUUCCCUGUAAACUGAGAAUUUGGGUCCAGUACUGAACAUAAGUCAUGUCGGCAUCAUCUUCGUCUGACAUGUCAUCGACGGAAUGGUGUCAUGACCUACAAGAUAUCAUCUUUGACAUGCCAUUGACGGAAUGGCAUCAUUACCUGCAAGAUAUCAAUUUCUGGCUGAAUGGAUAUCUCAACAGCCCUGCGUAUCAUAACUUGGAAGAAAAACUUGUCCAGUAUUACGUGCAGUGGAAUGUUGGAGUCGGUCCCGCAGCAUGUUUCACUCGAGCUAUAUCGAGCAUCACUCGGGAUGUACAUAUCAGGAAGCAUGGUCCCUUCGACCAUGUAAUAGAGGUGGACAUGAAGCAUGCAGCAGCAGUGCUGGGAAAUCGGUUCAAUAUUAAUGACAUGCUGCAUAUCAAAGUGGCAGAGCAGCUCGGGCUACUCGAACAUAAAUACGACAUGGUAGACAUGGGAGAAGAAGCAGGAUGACCGUGUCUCACCCCUGGAGCUAAAAUCCAUAGCUCUUCAAAUAAUGCAAAAUCUGCUGACCAAGAAGUACCUGCUGGUGGUUCACAAUCUCGACAGGCCAAUAAAGCCCAUCGUGCUUGAAGAUACGACAGAGGGCUUAUGGCUUCCUGCCCCUUGGUGGAAACAUUCUUUCUGGAUCGUAUCCACCACCUCCCAAGAUGUCUAUGACAGGAGCAACAAGCCAGAUGAGCCUCGCGUCAUCGAAUCCUUUGCUGGGGAUGAUAUAUUGAUUCUCACACUGCAUUCCCUGGAACAAGCGGCCAAGUACAUCUCUGUUGCGGUUGGCCAUGGAGAGGAGAAGUAUUGGCAUCAUGUGGCAGUCCAGUGCUUUCACUACGCCACCAUGCUGCUGCUUAUUCCCUGCAGUUCCAAUGUUGACCCGCCAAAGUGUGAUGCCCAGGCUGAUGUUAGCUCAGAUGUGUUGAUCCGCCAGUGGGCUGCUCAAGGCAUCCUUCCUGUCAUGAAGCCAAGUGUCCAAGAAAAAAUGGGGGAGGACACUGACGGCUACCACUGUCAGUACUAUGGUGAUGAUAUAUAUCAACUUGGAAAUGUCAUCCUCGAGGCUUUUCGGGAGUAUUCGUUGCUGCUAGCUGCCUUUUUCUCCUGCAACGAAAGAUGAUGAAGCCACAAUAUCUGCUGCACACUUCCUAGCAUAUCAUAGCCUUGUUGUAGAGCCCCUCACAUCCGAUGAACUCUGUGAGGGAAAUCACUCUCAGUUGGAGCACAUGCAGUGGAUCUCACAUGUGGGCGACCAAGGAUGGCAUGUAAGCAGAGAUUGGUUGAGCCAGGGGUCCAGCGGCCCGACCACACUUAUUAUAAGGCAUUGCUCGCAACACUCGAGGUUGUUCAUGAAGCUUGAAUCUGAUGAUUUCUUGGCCAAGCUCCCUUGUCUUCGUGUUCUUGAUAUUUCCUACACUCCGAUAGAGUCGCUUCCUCCUUCAAUCUGUUGUCUCCAAAAACUCCAAUUGCUUUCCCUUAGAGGCUGCUAUAACCUCAGAAGUCCAUUCAGCUUCCCAGAUACUGAAAUUACUCUCUGUGCAAACAACAGCAACAAAAAGCUCAACUUGCUCUAUCUCGAUCUCUCCUAUUCAAAUAUAAGCACAUUCCAGUGCGACUUCUUCCAUAGCAUUCCUACUCUAAAAGAGCUUCUGCUUGUCAAAUGCUCCAACCUUGAGGAGCUGCCACUUCUCGGCUCUUGCAUUGUCUACUCUAACAAAACUCGAGAUAAUAGACAACAAGAAAUUCAUUUCAUUCUCGAGAUUAACAGAGAUGGCAUUUGAUGGGCAUGGCACCCUUCAUUCAUUCUCAUUGGUUGGUACACCACAUAUAAAGCGAUUGUCAUUGCACGGAUGUAGUAAGCUAGAAUCCGUGGACAUUAAGGAAGUUGAUGCUUUGGAGGAGCUCGAUCUAUCUGCUACGGCUAUCAAGGAGCUACCAGACAACAUCCCUAAUCUGCCCCAGCUUAGGCGAUUGCUUCUCAGGGGCGUUCCUUCCCUGAGACGAUUCCCUUGGCAUAAGC